GUCAUUCCAAAGUGAUUGCUUGGUUUCCCUUUUCACGACCUGCAGAUCCCAACACUCCAGGAUGGUGCAGGACAUCAGUCUCAAGGCAUCUUCCUUCAUGUUCUCUGGGGGAGAGACUGACUGUGGGAAUCAGCCUUGGUUGCAAAGGGAAGCUGAGAGAAGAGAGCAGCGCAGGGCACGGACAUGCCAGCCCAGUUACUGGAGAUAUCUGCCGCUGGAGACGGGUUCAGAGCCUAGUUUAAUAUCCCGAAUUUCUGAUGCCAAGCUGAUCAUCGUCUCAGCACCAGCAAAGACAUGCUAUUCCCGUCCCUGACGAGCAUUUCCUUCUUGAGAAAGUGAUUUUGAGGGGCUGCAGAUGUACUUGGAGGAAGGUUUGGGCCGGGACAGAUGACGUGCCCAUGUGGGAGCUGGACGGCCCCUCUCUGGGUAGCUCCCUGGGAACUCCCAUGUCCGCCUCCCGCUGCCUCCUGAUCCAAGGUGGAUGCACUUCAUUUGAGGCCUGGUCUUUCGUCCUUCCCUCUCCUCUUCGGGGACCACUUUGUCUAGUGCUAGACUCAUUGUGCUUCCCCCUUGGGGCUUCCUUCAGCCCUCAGCCGAUUCAAGACUUCAAAAGGAAGUUGGACAUGGAGAGGAAAAAAGAAAUGAAACCAGGAAGGAACCGCCAAGAAGCACACAACGCGUUUAUGCUGCCUUAACCACACGCUUGACUCUAAAUGGGUUUAAAAAUUCUUACUUGUGUUAGCCCAAGAAAGUUUCUGCAGCCGUCUUUUUGGUUUAAACAAUCAAAUACUCAAUAAUUCUGGGGCUGGUGGGCCAGGAUAUGGGUUACUCAGAUCUUCUGCUUCACCCCAUGCUCGGUCCCUGAGCCAGUUCUGUCAUUGGUUCUUUCAGACCAGGGCAGGAAAAGUCAAGAAAGCAAAAGCGGAUUCUAGGCUGUGGGGUUUGCUGUUUGCUAGCCCCCUGGCAGAGAUGCCUGUCCUUGCAGUCCUGAACUGGUGGCCAAGUGUGCAUGCAUGCACGUGCAGGUGUGUGCAUGUGCAGGUGUGCAUGCGUGUAUGUGCGCACACACAUUCAUGCUUGUACAUGUUUGUGUACACGCACACUUUUUUCUGCUUUCAAUUUCAAGCUGUUGCCUCCCUGAUGUGUCUGUUUAGUGACUUGAGCCAGAAAGAUUCCCGGUUCUAUGUGGGAUGAGAAUGAACGCAGGCAGGUCUCCACAGAAGUGAGUAAAGUAGAGCUGAGAAGAAGGACAUUGUCUCAUGCCAGCCUGUCCAAUAGCCACUUUGCCCCAGCCCUGCCUCAAGCCCCAGAGAGAUGACAAGGCUCUCUCUGUUUGUCGACUCCUUGAAGCUCAGAAAGGUGGGUCAAGAGGUGCCCGUCAAGCGUUUAGGCAAGCACAGGACCCUGAUCUUUACUAAGUCUCCACAUCUCUCUUGCACAGCCCUGGGCUCAGGGCUUGGUCCCCUCUGGGCAGGCCAUCCAGACUAAGUGACAGUCAGAUUGUGUGUGGGGAGGCUAGAGACAUCCAUUCUUCAUGGAUCAGCCUGAAUGGCUGGACAGAUCUUGCAAAUGGAUUGUGUAAGACAGAGUGUGGAAGAGGAGGCUGUGAUCAGUGGCUUGGAGAGCAGAGUGUGGUCAGGCGCUAAACCUAAGGCUUUUCUGGGAAGAGCUGUUAAGAUUAGACUGUUCUCCCAAAAAGCCAAUAAUUCUGAGUGUCUCCAUUAAUGCCUAGGUAGCCCAUACUCUCACCCAGCCGGUGCCCUUCAGCCUGGAACCUUUGGAUGGAGGAUUGGACCUUGUGACCUUCAAGUUCCCUUCCGAACCAAAUAUGCUCUAACCCAGGAGAUGGUGCUGUUGCCCAGGAAGCCGGUCACCAUGACGAGAGUACCCGCUCAGAUGAGGAUGCAGGCGGAGGCGGUGAAGGUGCUGGAGGCCAGGAUGCUGAG
rnacentral:lncRNA from 1 species